rnacentral:rRNA from 1 species
AGCGUACACGGUGGAUGCCUAGGCAGUCAGAGGCGAUGAAGGGCGUGCUAAUCUGCGAAAAGCGUCGGUAAGGUGAUAUGAACCGUUACAACCGGCGAUACCCGAAUGGGGAAACCCAGUGUGUUUCGACACACUAUCAUGUCAUGAAUACAUAGUGGCAUGAGGCGAACCGGGGGAACUGAAACAUCUAAGUACCCCGAGGAAAAGAAAUCAACCGAGAUUCCCCCAGUAGCGGCGAGCGAACGGGGAGGAGCCCAGAACCUGAAUCGGCUUGUGUGUUAGUGGAAGCGUCUGGAAAGUCGCGCAGCAAAGGGUGAUAGCCCCGUACACUAAAAUGCACAGGUCGUGAGUUCGAUGAGUAGGGCGGGACACGUGACAUCCUGUCUGAAUAUGGGGGGACCAUCCUCCAAGGCUAAAUACUCCUGACUGACCGAUAGUGAACCAGUACCGUGAGGGAAAGGCGAAAAGAACCCCGGCGAGGGGAGUGAAAUAGAACCUGAAACCGUGUACGUACAAGCAGUGGGAGCACCUUCGUGGUGUGACUGCGUACCUUUUGUAUAAUGGGUCAGCGACUUAUAUUUUGUAGCAAGGUUAACCGUAUAGGGGAGCCGUAGGGAAACCGAGUCUUAACUGGGCGAAUAGUUGCAAGGUAUAGACCCGAAACCCGGUGAUCUAGCCAUGGGCAGGUUGAAGGUUGGGUAACACUAACUGGAGGACCGAACCGACUAAUGUUGAAAAAUUAGCGGAUGACUUGUGGCUGGGGGUGAAAGGCCAAUCAAACCGGGAGAUAGCUGGUUCUCCCCGAAAGCUAUUUAGGUAGCGCCUCGUGAACUCAUCUUCGGGGGUAGAGCACUGUUUCGGCUAGGGGGCCAUCCCGGCUUACCAAACCGAUGCAAACUCCGAAUACCGAAGAAUGUUAUCACGGGAGACACACGGCGGGUGCUAACGUCCGUCGUGAAGAGGGAAACAACCCAGACCGCCAGCUAAGGUCCCAAAGUCAUGGUUAAGUGGGAAACGAUGUGGGAAGGCAUAGACAGCCAGGAUGUUGGCUUAGAAGCAGCCAUCAUUUAAAGAAAGCGUAAUAGCUCACUGGUCGAGUCGGCCUGCGCGGAAGAUGUAACGGGGCUAAACCAUGCACCGAAGCUGCGGCAGCGACGCUUAGGCGUUGUUGGGUAGGGGAGCGUUCUGUAAGCCGUUGAAGGUGGCCUGUGAGGGUUGCUGGAGGUAUCAGAAGUGCGAAUGCUGACAUAAGUAACGAUAAAGCGGGUGAAAAGCCCGCUCGCCGGAAGACCAAGGGUUCCUGUCCAACGUUAAUCGGGGCAGGGUGAGUCGACCCCUAAGGCGAGGCUGAAAAGCGUAGUCGAUGGGAAACAGGUUAAUAUUCCUGUACUUGGUGUUACUGCGAAGGGGGGACGGAGAAGGCUAGGCUAGCCGGGCGACGGUUGUCCCGGUUUAAGCGUGUAGGGGGUGUGACCUGGUAAAUCCGGUUACAUACUAACCCUGAGGCGUGAUGACGAUGCACUACGGUGCAGAAGUAGUUGAUGCCCUGCUUCCAGGAAAAGCCUCUAAGCUCNNNNNNNNNNNNNNNNNNNNNNNNAAUCGUACCCCAAACCGACACAGGUGGUCAGGUAGAGAAUACCAAGGCGCUUGAGAGAACUCGGGUGAAGGAACUAGGCAAAAUGGUGCCGUAACUUCGGGAGAAGGCACGCUGGCAUGUAGGUGAAGUCCCUUGCGGAUGGAGCUGAAGCCAGUCGAAGAUACCAGCUGGCUGCAACUGUUUAAUAAAAACACAGCACUGUGCAAACACGAAAGUGGACGUAUACGGUGUGACGCCUGCCCGGUGCUGGAAGGUUAAUUGAUGGGGUCAGCCGCAAGGCGAAGCUCUUGAUCGAAGCCCCAGUAAACGGCGGCCGUAACUAUAACGGUCCUAAGGUAGCGAAAUUCCUUGUCGGGUAAGUUCCGACCUGCACGAAUGGCGUAAUGAUGGCCAGGCUGUCUCCACCCGAGACUCAGUGAAAUUGAACUCGCUGUGAAGAUGCAGUGUACCCGCGGCAAGACGGAAAGACCCCGUGAACCUUUACUAUAGCUUGACACUGAACAUUGAGCCUUGAUGUGUAGGAUAGGUGGGAGGCUUUGAAGCGUGGACGCCAGUCUGCGUGGAGCCAUCCUUGAAAUACCACCCUUUAAUGUUUGAUGUUCUAACUCGGCCCCGUGAUCCGGGGUGAGGACAGUGUCUGGUGGGUAGUUUGACUGGGGCGGUCUCCUCCCAAAGAGUAACGGAGGAGCACGAAGGUUAGCUAAUCACGGUCGGACAUCGUGAGGUUAGUGCAAAGGCAUAAGCUAGCUUGACUGCGAGAGUGACGGCUCGAGCAGGUACGAAAGUAGGUCUUAGUGAUCCGGUGGUUCUGAAUGGAAGGGCCAUCGCUCAACGGAUAAAAGGUACUCCGGGGAUAACAGGCUGAUACCGCCCAAGAGUUCAUAUCGACGGCGGUGUUUGGCACCUCGAUGUCGGCUCAUCACAUCCUGGGGCUGAAGUAGGUCCCAAGGGUAUGGCUGUUCGCCAUUUAAAGUGGUACGCGAGCUGGGUUUAGAACGUCGUGAGACAGUUCGGUCCCUAUCUGCCGUGGGCGUUGGAAGAUUGAGAGGGGUUGCUCCUAGUACGAGAGGACCGGAGUGAACGCACCACUGGUGUUCGGGUUGUCAUGCCAAUGGCAUUGCCCGGUAGCUAAGUGCGGAAAAGAUAAGCGCUGAAAGCAUCUAAGCGCGAAACUUGCCUCAAGAUGAGUCUUCCCUGGGCCUUUAAGGCCCCUGAAGGAACGUUUAAGACUAAGACGUUGAUAGGCUGGGUGUGUAAGUGCAGCGAUGCAUUGAGCUAACCAGUACUAAUGAUCCGUGAGGCUUAACC